UUAAGCGACUAAGCGUACACGGUGGAUGCCCUGGCAGUCAGAGGCGAUGAAGGACGUGCUAAUCUGCGAAAAGCGUCGGUAAGGUGAUAUGAACCGUUAUAACCGGCGAUGUCCGAAUGGGGAAACCCAGUGUGAUUCGUCACACUAUCGUUAACUGAAUACAUAGGUUAACGAGGCGAACCGGGGGAACUGAAACAUCUAAGUACCCCGAGGAAAAGAAAUCAACCGAGAUUCCCCCAGUAGCGGCGAGCGAACGGGGAGCAGCCCAGAGUCUGAAUCAGCUUGUGUGUUAGUGGAACGGUCUGGAAAGUCCGACGGUACAGGGUGAUAGUCCCGUACACCAAAAUGCACAGGUUGUGAACUCGAAGAGUAGGGCGGGACACGUGGUAUCCUGUCUGAAUAUGGGGGGACCAUCCUCCAAGGCUAAAUACUCCUGACUGACCGAUAGUGAACCAGUACCGUGAGGGAAAGGCGAAAAGAACCCCGGCGAGGGGAGUGAAAAAGAACCUGAAACCGUGUACGUACAAGCAGUGGGAGCACCUUCGGGUGUGACUGCGUACCUUUUGUAUAAUGGGUCAGCGACUUAUAUUCUGUAGCAAGGUUAACCGUAUAGGGGAGCCGCAGGGAAACCGAGUCUUAACUGGGCGUUAAGUUGCAGGGUAUAGACCCGAAACCCGGUGAUCUAGCCAUGGGCAGGUUGAAGGUUGGGUAACACUAACUGGAGGACCGAACCGACUAAUGUUGAAAAAUUAGCGGAUGACUUGUGGCUGGGGGUGAAAGGCCAAUCAAACCGGGAGAUAGCUGGUUCUCCCCGAAAGCUAUUUAGGUAGCGCCUCGUGAAUUCAUCUUCGGGGGUAGAGCACUGUUUCGGCUAGGGGGUCAUCCCGACUUACCAACUCGAUGCAAACUACGAAUACCGAAGAAUGUUAUCACGGGAGACACACGGCGGGUGCUAACGUCCGUCGUGAAGAGGGAAACAACCCAGACCGCCAGCUAAGGUCCCAAAGUCAUGGUUAAGUGGGAAACGAUGUGGGAAGGCACAGACAGCCAGGAUGUUGGCUUAGAAGCAGCCAUCAUUUAAAGAAAGCGUAAUAGCUCACUGGUCGAGUCGGCCUGCGCGGAAGAUGUAACGGGGCUAAACCAUGCACCGAAGCUGUGGCAGCGACACUAUGUGUUGUUGGGUAGGGGAGCGUUCUGUAAGCCUGCGAAGGUGGCCUGUGAGGGUUGCUGGAGGUAUCAGAAGUGCGAAUGCUGACAUAAGUAACGAUAAAGCGGGUGAAAAGCCCGCUCGCCGGAAGACCAAGGGUUCCUGUCCAACGUUAAUCGGGGCAGGGUGAGUCGACCCCUAAGGCGAGGCCGAAAGGCGUAGUCGAUGGGAAACAGGUUAAUAUUCCUGUACUUGGUGUUACUGCGAAGGGGGGACGGAGAAGGCUAUGUUAGCCGGGCGACGGUUGUCCCGGUUUAAGCAUGUAGGCUGGUUAUCCAGGCAAAUCCGGAUAAUCAAGGCUGAGGUGUGAUGACGAGGCACUACGGUGCUGAAGUAACAAAUGCCCUGCUUCCAGGAAAAGCCUCUAAGCAUCAGGUAACAUUAAAUCGUACCCCAAACCGACACAGGUGGUCAGGUAGAGAAUACCAAGGCGCUUGAGAGAACUCGGGUGAAGGAACUAGGCAAAAUGGUGCCGUAACUUCGGGAGAAGGCACGCUGGUGUGUAGGUGAAGUCCCUGCGGAUGGAGCUGAGACCAGUCGAAGAUACCAGCUGGCUGCAACUGUUUAUUAAAAACACAGCACUGUGCAAACACGAAAGUGGACGUAUACGGUGUGACGCCUGCCCGGUGCCGGAAGGUUAAUUGAUGGGGUUAUCCGUAAGGAGAAGCUCUUGAUCGAAGCCCCGGUAAACGGCGGCCGUAACUAUAACGGUCCUAAGGUAGCGAAAUUCCUUGUCGGGUAAGUUCCGACCUGCACGAAUGGCGUAAUGAUGGCCAGGCUGUCUCCACCCGAGACUCAGUGAAAUUGAACUCACUGUGAAGAUGCAGUGUACCCGCGGCAAGACGGAAAGACCCCGUGAACCUUUACUAUAGCUUGACACUGAACAUUGAGCCUUGAUGUGUAGGAUAGGUGGGAGGCUUUGAAGCGUGGACGCCAGUCUGCGUGGAGCCAACCUUGAAAUACCACCCUUUAAUGUUUGAUGUUCUAACGUUGGCCCCUGACCGGGGUUGCGGACAGUGUCUGGUGGGUAGUUUGACUGGGGCGGUCUCCUCCCAAAGCGUAACGGAGGAGCACGAAGGUUAGCUAAUCCUGGUCGGACAUCAGGAGGUUAGUGCAAUGGCAUAAGCUAGCUUGACUGCGAGCGUGACGGCGCGAGCAGGUGCGAAAGCAGGUCAUAGUGAUCCGGUGGUUCUGAAUGGAAGGGCCAUCGCUCAACGGAUAAAAGGUACUCCGGGGAUAACAGGCUGAUACCGCCCAAGAGUUCAUAUCGACGGCGGUGUUUGGCACCUCGAUGUCGGCUCAUCACAUCCUGGGGCUGAAGUAGGUCCCAAGGGUAUGGCUGUUCGCCAUUUAAAGUGGUACGCGAGCUGGGUUUAGAACGUCGUGAGACAGUUCGGUCCCUAUCUGCCGUGGGCGCUGGAGAAUUGAGGGGGGCUGCUCCUAGUACGAGAGGACCGGAGUGGACGCAUCACUGGUGUUCGGGUUGUCAUGCCAAUGGCACUGCCCGGUAGCUAAAUGCGGAAGAGAUAAGUGCUGAAAGCAUCUAAGCACGAAACUUGCCCCGAGAUGAGUUCUCCCUGAGACUUUAAGUCUCCUGAAGGAACGUUGAAGACGACGACGUUGAUAGGCCGGGUGUGUAAGCGCAGCGAUGCGUUGAGCUAACCGGUACUAAUGAACCGUGAGGCUUAACCUU
rnacentral:rRNA from 1 species